UACGAAGGGGGCUAGCGUUGUUCGGAAUUACUGGGCGUAAAGCGUGCGCAGGCGGCUUCUCAAGUCAGGGGUGAAAGCCCAGAGCUCAACUCUGGAAUUGCCUUUGAGACUGAGUGGCUUGAGUACGAGAGAGGUGAGUGGAAUUCCCAGUGUAGAGGUGAAAUUCGUAGAUAUCGGGAGGAACACCUGUGGCGAAAGCGGCUCACUGGACCACAACUGACGCUGAGGCGCGAAAGCUAGGGGAGCAAACAGG
rnacentral:rRNA from 1 species